UGCUGGUACGCUGCUGCAUUGGCCCCAGGAACUGACACACAAAGAGAGUGUCUGGGCGACAGACUCCAUCGGUGCCUGGGAUGUGUCCACAUGUCUCAAACUGUUGGCCAGACCUUACCCUCCGGGCUCGGGGGAUACAAAAGAAACUCCUGCCACUUUAAAGGCCUUUCUGCCUAGGAAUGGGGUGCCUGCAUGAGAAGUUAGCGGAAGGAGUCUCAGAUUCUCGAGACCAAACGUUUCUAUGUUCGGUGAUGGAACAAUCAUCCUUUUUUUACUACAAAAGGAAGAUUCCAGGCCCAAACCCCUUGCCUUAUAGGAAAAGGAUGCUGAGGAGGAGCCCCAAAUUCACUCCACGUCUCUCAGGAUUACCUUCUAAUCCCAUUCCAACCACCGUCAUGAGUUCGGGAUGCAUCCGCACCGUGAGUUCCUAAUUUAUACUGCGUGCUUCUGUAAGUGACGGACAGCAUCGCAGAGUGCGAUCAGAAAUUUUUCGUGUCAUUUGUUGACAGUGCUUUGAACUUGCUCUUCUGCUCGGCCGUCCACAUUUCGGAGAUCUACGGCUGCAGACGCCUGCAGCCUCGGCUGGUUGCCCGGACCUGGUUCGGGGAAGAGGUCGCUGCUCCUGUUUCCCUAUUUCUGCUCUUGGGAAUCCCUGCCCCGAUCUUACAACAGAGUCUGCUCACGUCCGCUCUCCUGCAGGCAUGAUCUUUCUGCGCUACCUGUAUUUUUCUUUGCCCUGAUUUAGAAGAGAAACUAGAUUCUCGUUUUGAGGACAGUUUUAAGCUCACAGCGAAGUUGGGAGGACGGUGCACCGAGAUUUUUCAUACAUCGCCUGAGGCCAGCCCUGCACAGUGCCAUUGUCCCCAUCCGGUUACCAACAUCCUAGGAGGACACACCUGAUAGGAUUCAUGCACCUGCGUUGACACAUCGUUAUCACCCAGAGGCCAGAGUUUACAGGUAACUCUUGGUGUUGCACCUGCCGUGGGUUUUAACAAAUGUAUAAUAGCAUGUAUCUAACACUACAGCAUCAUACGGAAUAACUCAACUGCCCUAAAAAUCCUCCAGUUUUUUCCUGUUCAUUCCUCCUUCCCCCCAACCCCUCAAAACCACUGAUUUUUAUACUGUCUCCAUUGUUUUGCCUUUUCCAGAAUGUCAUAGAGUCGCAAUUGUGCAGUAUGUAGCCUUUUCAGAUUGCUUCGUUUACUUAAUGAUAUGCGUUUAUGUUUCUGACAUCAAAUGGCGUGGUAGCUUAUUUCCCUUUUGUGCUGAAUAAUAUUCCAUUGUCCGAAUGUAUCACAGUGUAUCCAUUUACCUACAGAGGGCAUGUUGAUUGCCUCUGACCCUUGGCAAUUAGCAAUAAAGCUGCUAUAAAUGUCUGUGUGCCGCAUUUUGUGUA